rnacentral:tRNA from 3 species
GCCUUGAUAGCUUAAACUAAAGCACCGGUCUUGUAAGCCGGAGACUGUAGCCUAACCCCUACUCAAGGCU